CAGGGUGGGGGGUUGCCCACAUACGGCUUUGAGUGACAGCCUGGAUCUCCGUUCUGGUAACGGCACCCACGGCAGUGAGACCAGGCCGGUGUCAUGCAGUGCUGAGCAGGUGGCAGAGGCCGGGUCCUCACAGCCGGCCGGGAGCCUCCUUCACCAAGGGAACAGGAGCCCGCUGCCUGCUGCUGAUACAUGGAGCAUGAAGCUGUGAGCAAUGCUCACUGGAGGAGACCGAGCAUGGAAUGGUUUGGGUUGGAAGGGACCUAGCUUGCCUCGCGUUUAGUGCCUGAGGCAAGGCAGAGCAACAGCACCGCACCAGGGAGACUUCUGUGGUCCCACAACUGGUCGUCCUCGUGGGGAAGAACUGUGUAAAGCAAAGUGUGUGCAAGUUACUGCCUCCACGCAGCACCAUGUCUUCCUGUCAUUUUGGAUGUCCUGAUCCCUUUCUGGUUUGCCCUCAGGAGCCAAAGGAAUGCUUACCCUUUUCUGUAAGAG
rnacentral:lncRNA from 1 species